GUGAGUCAUCGAAUCUUUGAACGCACCUUGCGCCCUUUGGUAUUCCGAAGGGCAUGCCUGUUUGAGUGUCAUUAAAUUCUCAACCUUGAAAGGCUUGUCUUUUCAAUGGCUUGGAUGUGAGGGUUUUGCUGGCUUCCUUCAGUGGAUGGUCUGCUCCCUUUAAAAGCAUUAGUGGGAUCCUUUGUGGACGGUCACUUGGUGUGAUAAUUAUCUACGCCGUUUGUACUGUGAAGCAAAACUUGUGGGAACCUGCUUAUAACCGUCUGUAAUGGACAAUUUUGAACCUUUGACCUCAAAUCA
rnacentral:misc_RNA from 1 species